CCUACGGGUGGCAGCAGUAGGGAAUUUUCGUCAAUGGGGGAAACCCUGAACGAGCAAUGCCGCGUGAGUGAAGAAGGCCUUCGGGUCGUAAAGCUCUGUUGUAAGAGAAAAACGGUAAUGAUAGGAAAUGAUCAUUAAGUGAUGGUAUCUUACGAGGAAGCCACGGCUAACUACGUGCCAGCAGCCGCGGUAAUACGUAGGUGGCAAGCGUUAUCCGGAAUGAUUGGGCGUAAAGGGUGCGCAGGCGGAACCAUAAGUCUGAAGUAAAAGCCAUCGGCUCAACCGAUGUAAGCUUUGGAAACUGUGGAUCUAGAGUGCAGGAGAGGACAGUGGAAUUCCAGGUGUAGCGGUGAAAUGCGUAGAUAUUAGGAGGAACACCAGUGGCGAAGGCGGUCUGCUGGACAGCAACUGACGCUGAGGCGCGAAAGCGUGGGGAGCAAACAGGAUUAGAUACCCGAGUAGUC
rnacentral:rRNA from 1 species